rnacentral:pre_miRNA from 1 species
CCUGAAUUUUGUCUUGAGUAACUCAGAUCAUGCAUCAUACUUUGGAGUGUGGAGAAUCUGAGGCCAGGUAAGGAAGGAAGUGCUCUCAGAUACCCUGACUCUCCUGUACUGAUAAACCCUGCUCAGGAGAAGCAGGUGGGAUCAGGGAACCGCUUACCAUCUCCUGGCUGAAAGUGGGUGUUUGCACCCCUUUCCAGAAGGGGACAUCUGCUAACAAUAGGAAACCCCCCCGAACCUGUCCUGCUUAGACCCCUUGUUGCACAUGAGUCUGUGAACCCCGAAAAUUUGAGACGGGUCCAGUUAAUUUAGAAAGUUUAUUUUGCCAAGGUUGAGGACACAGGCCGUGACACAGCCUCAGGAGGUCCUGAUGACAUGGUCAGCGUGGUUGGGGCACAGCUUAGUUUUAUACGUUUUAGGGAGACUUGAGACAUGAGUCACUAUAUGUAAGAAGUACUUUGGUUCCAUUUGGAAAGGCGGGAAAACUUGAAGCAAAGGCAGGAAGACUCGAAGUGGGGAGGGGGCUUCCAGGUCACAGAUGGGUGAGAGAUGAACAGAUGCAUUCUUUGGAGUUUCUGAUUAGCCUUUCCCAACUGAGGUGAUCAGACAUGCAUCUAUCUCAGUGAGCAGAGGGGUGGCUUUGAAUAGAAUGGGAGGCAGGUUUGCCCUAAGCUGUUCCCAGCUUGACUUUUAUUUAUUUUCGUUUCACAAGUCUAUAAAAGAUUAGGGGGGUCAGCUGCCCUUCAGCACCCAAAUCAGGUGAGCAGACGGGUCAGCAUCACAAUAUCAACACCGGGUUCCAUCCUCUGCCCCUUGGGGCAGUGCCCAGUCCAGUGCCUCAGGGUCCUGGCAACCGCUGUGUCCUCCUCCCUCAUCUCUUGAACCAGCACAGCCAGCCCAGGCUGACCCUGCUCAGACAGUGGAAGGAGCCCAGGUCCAGGCCCAGGGAAAGCCUGGACAGUGGCCCCAUGUCUCUGAGCCCAGUGUCUUCUGUCUCCAGAGCCCGGGUUUUGAACCUCCAUGGGUUUUGGCAGCUCAUCCCCCGAGCUCUGAGAGGAGGGCGUCAUCAUCAGGAUUAGAUGAUGAUCUCCCAGCACAGGAGACUGGGAAUGGCUCAGGUGCUACCAGGACGUGCAGCUGAUGGUGGCUGGAGCCCGUUCUCUGUCCACCACACCCACACCCUGCCCCUUGCCCCAAAAUGGAACCGUGGCUUAGAUUUAAUCAGACAUUGGUGGUGGUGGUGGUGUUUUUUUGUUUUAGUUUUUGAGACAGUCUUGCUCUGUCGCCCAGG